CAAACCACUAUAUAUAUUAAAAAGAAAUCAAUCAUUAUUAUAAUAAUACAACUUUCAACAACGGAUCUCUUUGGCUCUCGCAUCGAUGAAGAACGCAGCGAAAUGCGAUAAGUAAUGUGAAUUGCAGAAUUCAGUGAAUCAUCGAAUCUUUGAACGCACCUUGCACCCUUUGGUUUUCCAAAGGGUAUGCCUGUUUGAGUAUCAUGAAACUAUCAAGACCUUUCAUUUAUUUGAAAUCAGUCUUGGACUUGGAUGUUUAUGCCGUGCUCUAGUCCUCGGCUCAUCUGAAAUAUAUUAGCUGGAUCCAUUAUACCAACUUGGUUCUUACUCAGCGUGAUAAUUGUCAUUCGCUGAGGACACUUCGGUGGCCAGGCAUUUAGUGGCUUAUCUGCUUCUAACCGUCUCUUUACUGAGACAAAAUAUUUUUAUGAAUCUGAUCUCAAAUCAGGUAGGACUACCCGCUGAACUUAAGCAUAUCAAUAAGCGGAGGA
rnacentral:rRNA from 1 species